GGCCCCGCCCCCUGGCGCGCGGGCGUGCAGGACCCGCAGAGAUCUCUGCGUUUCGGAAGCUCUUGGUGUGGCUGCGAGCCGAGCCGAGAGGAGAAGCUGGGCUCGUGGGGUUGCUGCCGCCGUCACAGGAAAUAAGUAACCAUGGUGCUCAACAGUUUGGAUAAGAUGAUUCAUCUCCAGAAAAACACUGCCAACAUCAGGAAUAUUUGUGUUUUGGCUCACGUUGACCAUGGAAAAACUACUCUGACUGACUGUCUUAUAUCUAGCAAUGGAAUCAUCUGCAGCCGCCUAGCAGGCAAGGUACAACUGUAACCGCUAUGAUGAGGAUGAUGCAAAGGCAGCAACAGAUGCACAGGAGAGAUGAGACCUCACUAUGUUGAUCAGGCUGGUCUUGAACUCCAGGCCUCAAGCAAUCCUCCUGCCUCAGCCUCCUAAAUUGCUGGAAUGAUUACAGGCAUGAGCCACCACACCUAGCCUCACUGACUUCAACUGCUUUUAAUCCCAUAUCUGCAGUGCUAAAAGAAUAUCAGCAGAGGAACAGCCUUGGUGAUCCGGCAGGAGCGAAGACAAAAAAGAAAAAAACUGAAAGUAGUACUGAGAAGACCACUUCUGAUUCUCAAAGCAGUUUCAGGGAAAACUUCUCUCCAGGUUUUAUCUGAAGAUAUUUCCUUUUUCACCAUAGGCCUAUAAGUGCACCCGAAUAUCCCUUUGCAAAUUACACAAAAACAGUACUAGCAAACUGCCUAAUGAAAGAAAAAGGUUAACUCUGUGAGGGGAAUUCAAACAACACAAAGCAGUUUCUCAAAAAGCUUCCAUCUAGUUUUCAUCCCAGGAAGUGUCGUUUUUCACCAUAUUUUUCACAGUGUUCCCAAAUGUUUCUCAGAAAGCUUCUUAUCCGUUUGUCUCUGAGGAUAUGUCCUUUCUCACCACAGGCUUCAAAGCACUCCCAAAUAUCCCUUUUUAGCCUUGACACCAAAAGUGUUUCCACACUGCUCUCUGAAAAGAGAGGUAUAACUCUGUGAGUGGAAUGCAUACAUCACAAAGCAGUCUCACAGAAAGCUUCUCUCCUGUUUUUAUCUGGAGUUAUUUCCUUUUUCACCAGAGGCCUCAAAGGGCUCCCGGAUAUGCCUUCUCAGACGACACAGAAAAAGUAUUAUCAAACUGCUAUAUGAAAAGAAAAGGUUAACUCUGUGAGAGGAAUUCACAUGACCCAAAGCAGUUUCUCAGAAAGCUUCCUUCUAGUUUUCAUCUGAGGGUAUUACCUUUUCAACCAUAGUUUUCAUAGCGUUCCCAAGUGUCCCUUCUCAGAUUCCACAAAAACAGUGCAUACAGACUGCUCAAUCCAAAGGGUUGCUUCAUUCUAGGAGGCAAAUACAUAUGUCACAAAGCAGUUUCACAGAAAGCUACGCUCCAGUUUUUAUCUGAAGAUAUUUCCCUUUUCACCAUAGGCUUCAAAGCGCUCCUGAAUAUCCCUUCGCAAAUUACACAGAAAGAGUCCCAGCAAACUGCUCAAACAAAAGUAAGCGUUCACUCUGCAAGGGGAAAUCACACAACACAAAGCAGUUUCUCAGAAAGCUUCCUUCUAGUUUUCAUCCGAGGACGCUUCCUUUUCCACCAUAUUUCUCAUAGUGUUCCCAAAUGACCCUUCUUGGAUUCCACAAAAACAGCCAUUUCAAACUGCUUAAUCCAAAGCGUAGUUUAGCUCUAUGAGGUGAAUACACACAUCACAAAACAGUUACUCAGAAAGCUUCUUUCCAGUUUGUUUCUGAGGAUAUUUCCUUUCUCACCAUUGGCUUCAAAGCGCUUUGAAAUAUCCCUUGUUAGCUUUUACACCAAAAGUGUGUACACAGUGCUGGAUGAAAAAGGUGGUAUAACUCUGUGCGUGGAAUGUACACAUCACAAAGCAGUCUCUC
ensembl:lncRNA